UACGUAGGUGGCAAGCGUUGUCCGGAUUUACUGGGUGUAAAGGGCGUGCAGCCGGGCUGACAAGUCAGAUGUGAAAUCCCGCGGCUCAACCGCGGAACUGCAUUUCAAACUGUCAGUCUUGAGUACCGGAGAGGUCAUCGGAAUUCCUUGUGUAGCGGUGAAAUGCGUAGAUAUAAGGAAGAACACCAGUGGCGAAGGCGGAUGACUGGACGGCAACUGACGGUGAGGCGCGAAAGCGUGGGGAGCAAACAGG
rnacentral:rRNA from 1 species